AAUAGAUACCCGGGUAGUCCACGCCGUAAACGAUGAGUGCUAAGUGUUAGAGGGUUUCCGCCCUUUAGUGCUGCAGCUAACGCAUUAAGCACUCCGCCUGGGGAGUACGGUCGCAAGACUGAAACUCAAAGGAAUUGACGGGGGCCCGCACAAGCGGUGGAGCAUGUGGUUUAAUUCGAAGCAACGCGAAGAACCUUACCAGGUCUUGACAUCCCACUGACUGGUAUAGAGAUAUACCUUUCCCUUCGGGGACAGUGGUGACAGGUGGUGCAUGGUUGUCGUCAGCUCGUGUCGUGAGAUGUUGGGUUAAGUCCCGCAACGAGCGCAACCCUUGAUCUUAGUUGCCAGCAUUUAGUUGGGCACUCUAAGGUGACUGCCGGUGACAAACCGGAGGAAGGUGGGGAUGACGUCAAAUCAUCAUGCCCCUUAUGACCUGGGCUACACACGUGCUACAAUGGAUGGUACAAAGGGCUGCAAGACUGCGAAGUCAAGCCAAUCCCAUAAAACCAUUCUCAGUUCGGAUUGC
rnacentral:rRNA from 1 species